GUGCUCAGUUUGGGAGCACAUAGACUAAAAUUGGAGCGAAACUAAACAGAGAUUAUUAGCGUGCCCCCUGUGUAAGGAUGAUGCACAAAUUUGUGAAGUGUUCCAUAUUUUU